GCUAUGACAGUGCCACUACACUCUAGUCUAGGUGACAGAGUAAGACUUUGUCUCUAAAACAAAGCAAAACAGGUUCCACAUGGGUUCAAUAUGCAUAUCGAGAAGUGUUAUUUCUGUUCAGGGCCAAUCUACCCUGGCCAUGGCAUGAUGUUCGUCCGCAACGAUUGUAAAGUGUUCAGAUUUUGUAAAUCCAAAUGUAAUAAAAACUUUAAAAAGAAGCGCAAUCCUUGCAAGGUCAGGUGGACUAAAGCCUUCCGGAAAGCAGCCGGUAAAGAGCUUACAGUGGAUAAUUCAUUUGAAUUUGAAAAACAUAGAAAUGAACCUGUCAAAUACCAGAGAGAGCUAUGGAGUAAAACUCUUGAUGCAAUGAAGAGAGUUAAAGAGAUCAAACAGAAACGCCAAGCCAAAUUUAUAAUGAACAGAUUGAAGAAAAAUAAAGAACUACAGAAAGUUCAGGACAUCAAAGAAGUCAAACAAAACAUCCAUCUUAUUCGAGCGCCUCUUGCAGGUAAAGGAAAGCAGCUGAAAGAGAAAAUGGUACAGCAAUUACAAGAGGAUGUGGACAUGGAAGAUGUUUCUUAAAGAUCUCACUGUAACCAUUUCUAUAUGUACAUUUGAAAGUGUCCUUUGGAGACUAGAACUUCUAAGUUAUUAGUUUAUUUUUUAUGGAAGGUCACUCAAAUGAAAGAAAGGUGAUUAAAAAUGUAUUUCCUAAGUUGCUGUCUGCAAAACAUCAGAUAGUAUGGAUGUUAGAUUGCAUUUCAAUGUUAAGCCUUCACUGAUAGAUGUGCUUAUGUAAAUUAUGAAAAUUCUGCUUGUAAAUACAGAAAUGAAUUGUGGACA